AGCAUUGAAUGUGCGAAGCACGACAGGUUAAUCCGAGUGGUUUCUGCUAAAGGAACCUUUUGUUAGUCCUAAAAACACUAACGAAUAAGGGGUGGGCAAGUUCUGGUGUCAGCCGCCGCGGUAAAA
rnacentral:rRNA from 1 species